CUCAGGUGAGUGACUACUGGGGAAUCCCUAGUGUUGUAUGUUUUUGCUAUCUUUACUGUUUCCUUUUAUGACAUUUUGUGGGGCACCUGACAAAGGGCCCGCCUUUUCACCAGACCCAAAUCCGGUUGUUCUUAAGGUGGAUUUUCCUGUUUG
rnacentral:rRNA from 1 species